GAAAAUUGGAAAGGAAAAGCCAGAGCUAUUACGUCUCACCGAGGAAGAGUUGGGAAAUUCACUGCAUUAUGCAUCAUCCAUAGGUUUUCUGGAAGGAGUUCGAUUCCUGUUAACGAAGUUUCACGAUGGUGCUUAUGAAACAAACCUUGAAGGCGACUAUCCUAUCCAUCUAGCAUGCAAAAGGCACUCUGCUGAUGCAGUGAAGGAAUUUCUUGCUAAAUUCCCAUAUCCAAAAGAAUUCCUCAAUAAGGAAGGGCAGAACAUUCUUCAUGUAGCGGCCAAAUAUGGAAAUUACAGUGUGGUUUGGUACAUACUCAAACAGGACCAGAAGCUCGUCGCACCGCUGCUAAAUGCGAUAGAUGAGGAUGGAAAUACACCUUUGCACUUGGCAGCAGGUUAUGGCCGAUUCACGGCUACAUUUCUUCUUGUGCGUGACAAUCGCGUUGAACAUUUCAUUGUUAACAAUGAAAAUUGGACACCAUAUGAGUGGGCUGAACAAUGUUCCAAAAGAACUGAAAAGAAAUACAUAAAAAACAGAUGAAAUGGUAUGCUACUAAUUUGAUCAUCAUUUAUCGAGCUACAAAAGUCUAUAUAUUUUAGGAGUAUUACUGAUUUAAUAUUUUGGUAUCUGGGCUUCCACUUUGUUGCCAGCCUGCCGAGGAACGAAAGCCGAUUGAUUCAAAGAACAGUACCCCUGCGCACGAGAUCAAGGUAUUUACGUUUAGGAUUAUGAUAAGUUUUUUUUUAUUUAAGAAACAAUAUUUUUUUUAAAAUACUAUCCAAAAAAAAGAAAAAGAGGAUGGAUUAAUAAAAAAAUUUUUAUUAAAUAAAACAACUUGGAGUCGGGCCCUCUUUUCGCACUAUUACGGAUACGAAAAUAAUGGGAAAAUUGGAUUUAAUUAUCAACUGCUCCUAUCGAAAAUAGGAUUGACUAUGGAUUCGAGCCAUAGCAUAUAGUUUCAAAAAAGCAUAUUAUUUUCUCUAUCUAAAUAAAGCAGGUUUUAAAUUAAAUAAAACAGGUUUUACAUGAAGAAGAUUUGACUCAUCAUGUUCUAUUCGAUACAAGUAGGAGAAGACCGCGACUCGGUAUUCUUAAAAGAAUAGAAAAAUCAGAACCAAGUCAAGAUGAUACGGAUCAACCCUUUCUUCUUGCGCCAAAGAUCUUAUUAUAUAUUUAUUUCAAUAAAAUCAUGAAAAAAUUUUGUCCAUAUUUAUUAUUUUAAUUGCUUUUAGUUUUUAUGGAAUAAAAACAUAGCUAAAAAAAUAUUUAUUUUUUUUCAAGAAAAUCAUGAAUUGAUUAUUCUUUUAUUUUUUAAUUAAAACUUAUUUAUAAGAUUAUGAUAGGUUGUUAUUAUAUAUAUAAAAAACAAUUUUAUAAGAACACUAGUAAAAAAAUGGAACGUAUUAAUAAGGAAAAUGGUUUUGAUUAAAAAAAAUAUAGAUACCUUCUUUUUUUCAAAUCAAUUUAAAUAAUUUUUUUUAUCCUAUAAAAUUUAAAUUAUUUAAGAAAAUUAAUUUUUAUUAUCGUGUAAUUAAAUAAAAAAAAUUAAAAGUAUCUCGUGUUUGCAACACGAAAUAAAAAAUCUUCAAUAUAUAUAUUAUUUUAAUCAAAACCAUUCAAUCUCAAACGACUUUUUUUCAAACAUGAACCAGUUUCAUUUGCUGAGAUUGUUGUCUAGCCAUAGCACACAGAGAGAGCACUGCCUGUUAACAUAUAAUAUUAUUAUUAUUUUUUUACAGGGCAAAGAAGUUGAUUCAAAUAAGAUGGAUACAAAAGAGGCAUCAUCAAAGGACGAAAUAGUGCUUUGGUAUUCUGAGUUGGUAUUAAUAUUGCUUUUCUUAUUUCGUUUUGUUUUUUCACUUGCCAUCCCUAAUCUUUUAAACUUCUAGUUCAAGCCCAAUUGAUUGAACUUGUAUACCAUUAUAUUAAAAAAUUCUAAACCAUUCCAGUAAAUUACUUGUUCUGGGAAAGGCAUUUGAAUUAGGUCAAUGCUUUUGGAUGCAAUUGAGCAAGUGCCAAGAACUCAUUAAACAAUUAAGUUUUUAAUUUCCCCCGUGCUAUAUAUGCAGGUGAUAACAUUAUCGAUCUUAUUCUUCAAUGCCCGCCCUAAGAAAUCCCUAAACCAGAUUUCCCCUGUUAUUGGACUACCCAUGUCAAAAGCAAGAGAGGAAAGAAGGAUCAUGACAGGGAAUCUUCUAGUGGUAGCAGUGCUUGUUGCUGCUGUAACCUUUGCGGGUGUUAUACAAUUGCCGCAAUUAAGGGAUAACAAUAACUCAAGUGAUCGUGAAUUUAACAGCACUACUUAUACUGCCUCCGAUUACAGCACUUAUGAGAAUCUUCUGUAUGGUUAUUUGUUUCUCGAUGUGGGGGCUUUAUCUUCCUCUCUGGCGGCAGCUCUACUCCUUCUUUUGGCAAGCGGUCAUUAUCCCAGAUUUCAAAUCUGUGCAGUUGACUUCUCAAUAAUGAUGGUUUGUUUUUCUAUUUUAAUGAUGUUCGGGGCAAUCCUUUUUUCUCUGAGAAUAGCAUUAAUAGGAUCCCAUGGUUGGAUGUUAACAAUCUUCAUUACAGGGGUGGCCUUCGUUUUUCCUUCGAUUAUCCUGCUAUUUCGCCACCCGGUUCUUCUACAAGUGCUCUUGCAUUAUAUCUACUACUACUUUUUUUUAUUGCGUAUCUUCAUUUUCUGGUGGCUGCCUAAUAAACUCUUUGAUCUCAAGAGAAAGCUCUCUGAUCACAAUAGAAAGCACAAUCUUUAGUAAGAUCAGAGGUCGGGAUUUUGGGAUCGAUCACAUCUUGGAUUGUGUCUGGCUAGCGAUUGUGGUAAUAAUUUGAACUUUGUAAUAACUCUUGAGUUUCCAAUUGAAUGUAUGCGCACUUCUACUUAUAUAUAUAUAUAUAUAUUUUAAGCAUGCAUUUACUAGACUCCUGUUGUUGUUGUUGGAUUGAGUAAAAAAUAAAUAAAUCAAAUAAUCAAAUUAAGAUAUGAAUGUUAAUUAAAGAUAUCAACAGCUUGGUUGGUCUGAACAGUACCGUCCCAAAAUCAUUGACACGGUGCAUUACGAUAAAAUCAACAAACAUCCAUCCCGUCCCUGCUGCAGGAUUUUUUUCAAGGUAAAAGGACGAGCAAUUUAAAAUAAUGUUUUGUUCUAACAAAUACAAGCCAACCCCACCCCUCCAUCAACAAAAGAGAACUAUAAUUUUGAAACCCGGCCCAGUCAAGUGAUCAGAUCACGGGUCAGAUGGGUUGACUCGACUUAACUCGGAUCAACAAAAAAAAAAACAGUUUUUGUGUUUUUGAUGCCUAAUAACAAGAAUAAUUGGCGGUUUCGAAUUUGAAAUAGCCACUGGCUACCCUUCCUGCCUUGUGAGAUAGUUUUCUCAACCAAUCAAUGAGCGAUUAUUAUAGAAUUUCUACACGCCAUUAUCCCAGUUGCUACAAGAUCUGACCUCCUCCAGCUCGUUUCGUUUCUUUCCUUUUCUUUGUGCCCUGUUUAUUAUGGUUCCUAUCUUGGUCAUCGCUGCCUAAUCUCUGAUGAUGGAGGCCACUGUUCUUGUUAUUAGGCAUCAUUCAUCAAGAACACAAAAGUAUCCUUACCAUUACUAUUACUCUAGAGCUGCUCUUCUUGCAGCUCCCUAGAGACCCCUCCUCCUUCUUUGGCGUCCACACACAGUAAGAUCCAGGUUCUAGGCUGUCAAUAUCAUCAACUUCCGAUGAAGAACACAAAAAGGUUUCACGGUCCUCGUAGAAGAGCUUCCCGAUGAGUAAUCUAUUUGGUUUCUUGGCAUCUUGGGUACUAUUGGUUGCAGUUUUCGAUCUGGGUAAGGAUUCUUGGUCAUCUAAGAGUAACCAUUGCUUCUGUUACGCUGCGUUCAACUACCUCCUCCUUGAAUCUUUAAUUUUAUCCAUCAAAGCCAUCUCUCCUCGUCUCUCUCUCACUAUAGUUAAUUGACGGGGUCUCACAAGUGUUUGACUGGGUGGACCGGGUCCGGGUCAACCCUUCGGGUCAACCGAGUUUUUCCAAGUCAAUUCACAAGCGGGUUUUUAUCUCCACCCAGAUCGGUCCUAGGCCCGGGUCGGCCGAGUCUCGGGUCAACCCACUGGAUCGGUCUAGGUUUUAAAACUUUGAAGAGAACACAUUAUAUAAUGGAGAUUGUGUCCCACGUUGUCAUUUGAUGAUAAUUUUUUUGUUGUUGUCUAUAGGUAUUCCAUUUUAGAAUUGCGUUAUAAACAAUAUGUUAUAAAAAUUAAGAUUGUUUUAUUAAAAUUAAUUUUUUUAUAUUUUUAAAUUAUUUUAAUAUAUUGAUGUUAAAAAAAAUUUUAAAAAUAAAAAUAUAUUUUAUUUUAAUAUAUUUUAACAAAAAAAAAUUUACCAUACACUUAAACAACUCUCUAUUUUUCUUUUUUUAAAAAAGAACUCCUGCUUUUCUUUGACUAUUGUUAACUUCUAAAAAGUAUUUUUUAUUUAAAAUAUAAAGGAAAUUUUUUUUUUUAAAAAAAAUUUUUCACAAAAAUUUUUUUGCUAACCAACUUUUUUAAUAACAAAUAAAUAUAAAAAAAAAUCUGUUGUUUGAACUAAAUUGUUUCAUUUAUGGACGAAGAACAACAAUAUUAAAGCCAGGAUAUCAUUUGGUUUUGGAACUUGUAUCGGUUCAUCUAAUCUAAGACUUCUUUCACUUCAUCCCUUGUAAAAUCUUCAUAUAAGUGAGAACUCGUAUCAUUUGUGGCUCGCCAUAAACAUUCUCAAUCACCUUAUCAACUCGAUCCUGCUACUUGAGAAUAAAACACAACUCUGGAUUUGUCUUUGGUGCUUAUCAAACCAGGCUCAUUAUCAAGAUUUCUAAUUAUUAAUUUUGCAGAUUUUCUUGUUAUAUUCUAAUCACAACUCAGUGUAAUUCUUUUAAUCUAACCAUUUCCUCCCUUAUUUAUAUUAAAUAAUCCAUAAUUUAAUCAAAUACAAAGUAAAAAAAUAAAGAUAAAAAGAUAUAAAUAAUGAUCAUAUCCUUUAAGCUGCUUUAAAUUUUAUAAUAAUAAAAGAUUUAAAUUACGUUAAUACUCUGCUUAAUUUUCAGUUGAGCCCUUUUUUUGAGAACAAACUAACGAAAUCAAGUGAUAUAGUUUAUAUUAUUACUUUAAAAAUUUUAAUAUAAUUAUAAAUUUAAUUCAUUGAGUGGAUAGGGUUUCUAUUAUAGGCAAGGAUGCGGCUGCUAGGUGAACAUGGCUUGGCAAAACAUCAACUUUUAUCAUACGGUACAUGCUUUGCAGCUGAUUCUUUUGUUGUUUUUUUAAUCCUUUCCUUCCUCUCUACUUUUCUCUUGGCAAAAAAAUUGAUUUCUUGUUCAUCAGUUGAUGAUAUUCAAAAAUCCAAUAUGUUUAAGAAAGAGAUUUUUUAGUGUUUGGACAGUGAAUAAAUAUUCCUUACACAUCAUUAAUAAAAGAUAAAUAUCUUUUACAUAAUAUUUAAUACUGAUGAAAAUAUAGUAGACCCUUAGAAGAUUUUUAUACAUCAGGAGUGUAGAGAGAUGAGUAUUCUUAACAUUAACAUUUCAUGUUAAAAAUCAUAAGAAUAAAUAAAGAAAGCCUUAUAGCCUAACAUGAGACUUAUAAUGAUCUUUAAACCCAUACCCACUUAGGCUUGACAUGAUGUUAAGUCCACUAACAAUGGGUCUUGCAGCUUGCCAGACCCACAUCCGUUUAGGCUUAACAUACAAUUAAAUCCAACGACAUUGGGUAUGACAAUUUACCAAAGGUAUAUAUACUUAAUCUUAGCAUAUAGUUAAACCCGUGGAUAUUAGGUCUAAUAGCUCACUAAACCCAUUUCUGUUUAGGCUCAAUACGUGAUUGAACCCAAGAUCAUUAUGUUUGGUAGUUUAACAGACCUAUAUGUACUUGGUCUUAUUACGUAACUAAUCCCAAUGAUAUUGUGUUUGGAAGCUUGCCACACAAAUUUUUUUGGGCUUAGCACAUAGCUGAGCCUAAGGAUAUUAGAUUUGGUAGCUUACCAGACUUAUAUAUGCUUGAGCCUAGUAUAUAGUUAAACCCAAGGAGUUUAGAUCUAACAACUUGAUAGACCCAUUUUUUUUUUGUCUUAGUGCAUAGCCGAACCUAAUAUCAUUGAGUUUGAUAGCUUGCUAGAUCUAUACGUACUUGGAUUCAACACGUAGUUGAACCCUAGGAUAUUGGGUUUGACAACUUGAUAAAUCCACGUCUGUUUGGGCUUAACAUGUAGGUGAAUUCAAUGUGUUGGAUCUAACAGCUUGUCAUACCCAUAUAUACUUGGGUUUAGUGUGUAGGUGAUCUCAAUGAUGUUUAUUUGCUUUUUUAUGACGUUUCAACUUUGAUAGCUCAAUGAAAUUUACUUUGCAAAUCAUAUAGUGUCCUUGAUAUAUCCAAGUUGGGGAAUUGAUACCUUUUAUCUUGUUACUGUUUAAAGGAUGACCUUUCUUUUCACCUUUUUGGAAAGCAUUUAGUGUUGCACAAUCAUUUCUUUUACCUCUAGUUGGUACAUUUAUGACAAUGAAGUUAAUUACCAAAGAUUGUUUUCCCUGAACCUUUGAAAUGCUCUUUUCAAAUCUAUGACUUUCAGACUUAUUUUUCUUAGGCUCUUACAUAGGUAAUGUCGCACGUCACCCGCGUGGCAUCGGCUUGGCGAUUUUUUAUUUGUUUGGUAUAUUGGUUCAUUGGAGUCAUCACCUAGUAUUUAAUUGAGGGCUACUAGAAAACCCGGUUGUGCUGGUCUUGUUAGAGAUUCACGGAUAAGGGAUUGAUUGUGGUUAGAGAAGAUAUUAGCACCCCUAACACACCCUACCUGAGGUAAGCUGCUUCGUGGACUUGAUGUGUUAAAAAAGUUUUAAAAAUUUUGUUUUUUCAUCGAAUAUUAGAAAUAUAACUUAUGUGUAAGUUCAUAAUUUUUUAUUCGUAAGCCAAUCAAAAUAUUAAAUUCUUUUUUAUUCUUGCAAUUUUAUCAUUAAAAAAAAACAUUUCAUAAACAAAAUACAAAUUACACAUUCACUUUCACUAUACUUUCUUCUUUUUUCUUUUUUUUAUACACACUACAAAUUAUAAAAAAUCAAAACUAAAAAAAAAAAUACAUUAAAUAAUUUUAAAAUUACAAAAAUAGUCCAAAAACAAUCUAAAAUUACAGGGAUGGCCUUUUGCAAGCCGGAACAGUGUUAAGCAAGGUUUCAAUUAGUGGCGACGCGUCUUCCCACGCGCCACCGGUCAUAGGCGGCGCGUGGGUUCAGGCGCCGCCGUUACCCCCCCCCCCCAAAUUAGAAAGGGCAAGUCCUGCAGAAACACACAGAUAUAUAUAUAGAAAGUGGAAAAAAAACCCUCAGAAUCUCUAUCAGCAACAAAGAGUCGAAAACCAUAAAAAAAAGCUUCCAAUUUUGAUCUUAUGUGCAUAUAUACAUAAAUGUAAUGCUUUGAUGUUGGCACCAGGUUUUUCUUAUUGGGAAGGAUUUUGGAUCUAUAACAGCAUAUCUAGUCGCUGUUGUGCACCCUGAGAGGGUUUCAGGUCUUGUGUCCCUCGGUAUUCCUAUCUUGCUACCAGGUCCUAAUUGUAUCCGAAAUGAUCUCAUGCCAUCAGGUUUCUACAUAACAAGGUGGCAGGUACGAUUCAUUUAUCUCCUGUAUUUGAUACUUGCCUUUCAGAUCCUAGAGUGAGUUUUUGGUGAUAAUGAUAAUUACAAUUCAUUGUUGAUCUUGCCUGUUUUCUCUAAAUAAACACAGGAACCAGGUAGAGCUGAGGCAGAUUUCGGACGCUUAGAUGUCAAGACAGUGGUAAGAAACGUAUACAUUCUCCUAAAGUUUGCAGGUAUGGAGGACUACACAAAAAGUGAGCAACUGAAGCAUUUUGUACCGGAUUUGGACAAUGUGUUCCUUGAUGAAGGGAACCAUUUUGUUCAUGAGAAUCUCCCAAAGCAGGUGAAUGAGCUGAUAAUUAACUUCCUCACCAAACAUUGUACCUGAAGAUUAUAUUCUAUGACCAUUUCAAGUGUUACGAUGGUUUCCAGCUGGGGUACAGAGUGCCUCGCAACUUGUGUUAAGCUGAUAUGAUGUAUCGAACUAUGUUUGAAAUAAGAUAUUUUCAUCUUUUAAGAUCUGAUUUUGGUUAAUUUCCCAUUUAUCCUAUUUUCAUUUGCAAUGGGCAAUUGUUGAAUUAAACGAGAAUAAACAGAAAUUAACGAUUACAAAGGAUCUCAACCAAUUUUAAAAUUUCAUCUGACCUGAUAAAACAAUCUUAACUUUGUUAAUCUCUUUUAAUCCGUUAAAAAAUAACAAAGUACAAAAUAUUGGUUUAUUUUAUAAAUGAAUAUAGAAGAAAACAAUGUUUAUCCCAUAUAAAAAAGAAACACUCUCUUCUAAGUGUUUAUAAUUGUAGGUUUCUAUUGUUUAGUAAAUUAAGUGAAAGUUAUGAUGGAAAAACUUUUAUAGUGGGCUUCCUCAUGCUAUUAUAUGUAUAUUUAUAAUAUCAAAAUAUAGUAUUUGACACUUAAUAUGUCAAUGAGAUAAAUUUAUUUUUGAAUUAAUUUCUUUAAUUUUUAUAAUUAAUUUUGAUAUUUGUGAUUAUUAAGAUAUAACUGAAUAACAAUUUAAUUUAAAAGAUAAAUGUUUCAUUAACAAUAAUAUAGUUUUAUUUACAGUUAUAAUAUUAAAAGAUAUAAUAUUUUAUUAUAAUAUUUUCAAGUCUAUUAAAAAUGAUUACUAUACAAAAAACUAUAGAUAGAAAAAAAAUACAUUUUUUCUUUCCUUUAUCUUAUUCUUAUAAAAGUUUAGCGAGCUUAAUUAUAUUAUGAAGGUGUUGUUUUUGUAUGAGACAAAUAAAUAUCUUAAAAACAAUGAUUUCAUAUUUCCAAACCAACUUUUUAUUUAUUUCCAUCUUAUUAUUUAUCAAACACAAAUUUGUUUAAAAAUGAGCUAAAACUGGUUGCUAGAAUAAUUUCUGAAAUACAUUUUGCUCCAUUCUAUUUGGUUGAUAUCUAGUGAUUUCCAUUAUUUCAGAAUACGAAAGUUCUACAGUAAAAUGAUCAUAUACUUGGUAUAUGUAAUUCGAGAAUCUGUUAUUAAUAUCAUUUGAUCACCCGUCCAUUAUGUAAAGCAAAAGUGGCUCUUUGCCUGAUGGGAGAUCAAACCCCACACUUGUAAUACCAUAGUCUACUGUAAAAUAAUGCAUGAUUGUCGAGGCUGAAGGCGGACUCCUAUCAUUGCAUUUUCAUAUACAGUGACCUAAUAUUCAUAAAAAGAUUUUAGAGUUCAUAAGCAGGGAAUCUAGCCUUGGAUGGGUCGAUCAUAUCUAGAAAAAGAUAAGCCAUACCUCCCAUUCCUUCAAACAUUGAGUGGGGGCUAUCACCUCCAUGCAUCUCUCCGGCCGAUAUAUGUUUGUGAGCUCUAUCCAGCAGAAAGCAAGUAAACGCUUUGGCCUUGUAUAAGAACUCCAUGUUGCCUGUUAGCUGGUACAGUGAGAGAAACACAUACGCAUUCCCACUGAUGCCAUGGCAAAUUCCAACUCGCUUGAGCAGCCCACGGUUCCACACUACCUCUGCAGCAUUUAUAGCUGCUUCCAGAAACUCUUUAUCUCCAAAAACCUGAGCAUUGCACAUUUCAAUUUUAUAAAAAGCUGAGGCAAAGUAGUUUCCAGAAGGACAAAGGGCUCCUACCUAUAAUUUUAUAUGAUUUGGGAAAAAAUAAUGCUAUCUAGUUAGUUUCAGUCUUUAAGUAUCCAGCCUGAUAUGUGUGAUCAGAGCUAUCAAAAGAAGGAAUAAACUUUGCUACUACAGAAGUUACAGUUUCAAGUAAACCUAUGAAUACUGUUCCUACACAAAACAUUCUUAAAAAAAAUGAAGGCUACACUCGGUUGGAAAACCUACUCGGAUUCAGACCAAAAAUAAAGAUCUAAUUCAAAGAUUUAACAUUUAUUUCAUGUAUUCAGCCAUAUUGGAUACCUCAGAGAUCAAGACAAACACAUGCAAUAAAUGCCAUUUCCAUUUGCCAAUGAAUUUGAAAAUUUAAUGCUCUCAUUAACAUGACUAAAGGAGAAAGGUCAAAAUCUGAAUCAUUCAUAAAUAUCAAGUUCUUGCUCCAGUGGGGCUUAAAUUAGCUUACAAUGAACUAGAUAACUGGAGAAAUUUACCUUAACUGCCUUGACAAGUGUAAGAGCAAUUCCAGGUGCUCCAUGACACCAAUGCACAAGAACAUCCCUCUUGCGAUCUUCUUCACUUGUAGAGUAGUUGCCGCUUGGAAAGCAGUUAUUGAUCAUGUAUUUAAGGGUGCCCUUGACAUCCUCAAACUCAUCAGGUUUCAGCUCUACAUCCAAUAAAACAUUCAUAAUACCUGCCAAUCCAUGGGCAGCACCCCAAUACCUCUCACCAUACCAUUCAUACAUUAAUGGGGAACCUCCUUUCUUCGCCAAUGCUCUUCCAUUUUUUAUAAUUUCAUUCGCAACAGCACGCUACAAUAAUUUUACCGUAAGACUGUUACAUCCUGCUUAACUAAUUCAAAACCAAAGUAGCAAAAUAGGUAAUAGCACAAAUCUCACAAUGGUCGUAUCAGGGACAGUCCCCUGCCCCAUGUGUUUAUUUAGGAACAAACAAGCCCAUAAGAAUCCACUUCUUCCAUAUAACAACUCAUCAGGGUGAUUUCUCAACAGCUUAAUCUGUUUCAUAAACAAUCAAUAAAUACUCACCGACAACCAAUUUGUUUUUUACAAAAAUAUGAAAAAUAACACAAAAUAGAGUAAAAAGGCCACCUCUCCUAAUUGACUCAGAUAGUAACUCUGUAAUGCUUCAUCAUUAGCAUGCUUUGCUGCUACAGCCCCAAGUGCACAAACACCAGCUCGCCCACAUAUAAAUGUCACAUCCCUAGAUUAUAAAAUACAUUCAACAACAUUACCAGAUGUCCAAACCGAAUCCACCCCUCUUUAGUAGCUUCAAAUUUGCGUUUUACACAAGUUAUAAUCAAAACCCAAAAUCAUAUCCAAUUGGCUCAUACCAUAAAUUUAAUCACAAAAACAAACUAUACAGUGAAACAACAUGACAUCUUCACCAAGAAAGGGAGACUCUACCUUGAAGCCCGAGAAGCAGAAUCACAAGCCUUAACAAUCUCCAAACAGAGAAAGAGAUCUUUUUCAUUACUGGUAACUUGAUAGCUCUUAUAAAGCAACAAAGCAGUGCCAAGAUUUCCACUGUAAAGAGUAAAAUCAUGCACAACUUGCCCACCUAACCCCCAUGUCUCCAUCACUAUCUGUAGAACACAAAAAUCCCACUAAACACACACAGUGCCAACAUUACCAAACAAAGCAAAAACAACCCAAGAAAUGAAAACAAAAGAAAGAGAAGUUCUUGUUACUGUUUCUUUAAGAUCCAAACCAGAACGUUGAAACUGCUUGGAAAGUGAAGUGUAGGGCAUUGAGAGAAGCUUCAUGAGAGAAUCCUCAUCGGUUACUUUAUCUUCUUCUUGUAUAUCUUCUGUUACAAAGCUUGGCAUUACGUUGGGAAAGAAUCGAUCGGCCAUUGCUGCCUCUGGUUCUGAAGCGAGAAUUUUUUUUUUUUUUCUCUGUUUUAGCCUUUUAGGUUGUCGUCAAAGGUUUAGAGCUUAGUAGCUGCUACCUGGUACUGAGCGUUGGAAAUUGGCUAUUGUAAACGUGGCAGAUGCACCGUCUGCUUAAACUACUUUGUUAAAUAGUGUAAAUUGCAUCAUUGGCCCCUAAAGUCUUAGAGAAUUGAAAGAAUUGCUAAUUUAGACUCGCUACUUUCAAAACUCCAAAAACAAGCUUUAUCUUUUUUUUAGUACCGUAUAACCUUGAUAAAUUAAUAAUUUUCAUUAAAUAAUAUUUUUAUAGUAUCGACUUGAAACCAAGAUGGUAAAUUAAUAAUAUGGUGAAUUUAUAAAAUAUAUUUAAAAAUAAAAUAUAUAGAUCCCAUUUGAUAUAUAAAUUAAUAAUCUUAUUAUAUAUAUAUAUAAUCAAAAUUAUAUAUACAUGAUUUUAUAACAUCUUUGUAAAAUUGAUUUAAAUUAUACUUGCUUUUUAUUGAAAUUAAUAUUUUUUUAGAUCUUAUCACUAACGUUUUGUAUUAAAAAAAAUAUACAAAGUGAUUAUUGCUUUAAAUAUAUUUUUUUAAUUAUUAACUUUAGUAUGUAAACUAGUUCAUACGCACCUCAAUUAAUCCCACCGACUCUAAAAUUAACAACUAUAUAAGUUUCCAGUAGUCAUUAAAUUAGUAAUUAUAGGGCUCGAAUCUCAUACUAUAAAAAAAAUAAACUCCUUAAUUCAAAUUUUUUUUAUUAGAUCAUCUAUUAAAAGGUUGCUUUAAACAUCUUUUCACGAGUCAAGCUAAAGAACAUAACCAAUGUAUUUAACUUCAUCUUGUUUUUCAUUUUCGAUAACGUUCAAUAAUUUGCUCAUUGCUUCAUAAUUCUAAAGUUGUCUUUCUUUCUUUUUUAUAGGAAGUUCAAAAGUUACUUAAUAUCUAUAUCAUGAUAGUUCAACACUUUAAUUAAAAUAUAAAAUUAUUGAAUGCUUUUAUCAUCUAGGUGUUACUUUAAAUUUUUUAGAGCCAUAAUAUUCAAAAACUUAAUUUUACAAUGUUAAAAAUAGUUUGUAAUUGUACUUCCUCGAACAUCUGUUGUCGAAGCCGAGAUUGCUAUAUUCAUUACAUCUAUAACAUUAAUCUUCUCUGGAUCAAGGAUUCCAAUUUUGUAUGAUCCUGAUAUGAAUCUUUAAUAUGAUGUUGGGGUAGUAAGAAAAACAAUUUAAUUUUUUAUUGAUGGGCGUGGCAGCAUCUCAGUCACAUUUUUUCUCCUGAGUUUUUGGAAACUUGCAGAUUAUCAAAUCAACUUCUUCAUCUUCUUUUUUUUCUUUUCUGAAACAAAUAGGCAAGAAAAGAGAAAAGGGGGGAGAACAAAUCGAAGAAGAUGAUUGAUGUCCAUUUGUUGUUAAGGUAUUGUACGUAAUUCCUUUUGUUGUGAUUGAUAUUAAGGGUGAUUAAAAAGGCACCUGAUACUAGCAUCUUCAGUUUGGAACUAAACACUUUCAAGCACAAUCCACAGAGAAAAAUGACACCAAAUGUCUCAAGAUUUGCCUCUAUAUAUAAGUUUAACUAUAGCAUUUUUGGGAUCCCUAUUUGGAUAUGGUUUGUGCUUUUUUUAGGUUAAUUUUUGUUACCUUUCAAUUUUAGUGUUUGCUUCUGAGGAUUAGAGUUAGGUUUUUUUUGUGCUGUUCAUCUCCUUUGCUUUAUUGGUGUUGCAUCCCUCCCCUGCCUCUUCUGUAAUGGGAUUGUCUCCAUCCACUUGUGGAUGUGGUUGGAUGCUUGGAAUAUGGUUUGCUUUCUUCCGUGUUUUUUUUUUUUUCCUGGCAGAAGGAUAGAUGAAUUGUAUGGAGGUGUAAUUAAUAUAAUUCGUUGUUAUAUGAUUCAUGGGCAUAAUGUGAAGGUGUAUAAUGAUUUGAAGUAAGGAGGAGAUAGAAAAUGAUAUCACAUUGAUGCUGAUUUGAUUGUCUCUCGGUAUUUUGGUUGAUAAGCGGGCUUAUAUAUUUUGAUGUAUUUAAGGGUAUUAUAAUAGUUGUUUUUUAAAAUAUUUUUUAUUUUAAAUAAAAUUUUAAAAAAAUUAUUUUUGAUAUUAAUAUAUUAAAACGAUAUAAAAACACAUAUUAUUUUUUAUUCUUGGCAUAGAUUUUGUUAGAAACUUGAUGAAACACCAAAUUCUUUGCCUAAACACCACUGUCAUCCUUUUAGAUUCAAUGUUUUUUUGUUUUUUUUUAAUGGAAGAUCUAGUAAAUCUCUUUGAAGACUAGAAUGAAAUGCUCACUUUUUUUUUCUAUAUAAAAAUACAUAUUUAAAAAUUCAAAAAAAUCUAAAAUUCAAAUUUAUUUUUGGAACACGAGAAGAUAAACCUUCAAGCUGCAAAAGAUCAAAAUAUUAGAAGAAUAACUAGAUUGCAAGAUUUGACAAGAUGAGAUGAAAGAAGAAGGAAGAAAGAAAAAUGAGGUUAUUGGUGCUUCGAUUUAAUUACUUUUAAUAUUGUCAUCCUCUAAUUAGUAUUAAUAGUACUCAUCUGUAUAGUAAUUACAAAGCUAAGAUGUUGGUUGCAGUUGCUUAUGAUACGAAUAAUGGAGUUUAUCCAUUAUGUUUUUUUUGUUAUGGAAGAAGAGACAAACAAACCUGGUCGCAUUUCUUGAGAUGUUCAUGUAACCCGAUGCAAUAUGCCCUUGAUAUCUGAGAAAGAAUCGAUUUGUAUGCAAUAUAGUUUUAUAUUUAUUAAAUACCAUAAUAGUUUUAUUGUGAAUGAUGACUACUAAUUAUUUUUUAAUGUAUAUAUAUAGAUUAAUUACUUGGUGCAGGAAGCUCGAAAGGCAGCAACAACUAUCUUUAAAGGUGUCAAUAAGAUGGGACAUAAUGUGGCCAACAUCACCUUCAAUUUAUGUUGUAACAGACUUCAAGAGGUUAGGGAGGUCCAAUGCCUUGAAGCAACAUUAGCGGAAGAUGAGAUUGCUUAUCAUGAAAGUGUUAAAGAUGUUGGUCCGUCCAUGAUCAUUCUAGGUCCAUCCACGUACUAGGAUGAUAUUGGUCCUCCUCAAACCUACAUGGAUAUUUCAAACCCGACCUUAAAUUGAAUGAGUUGGGAGAUAAUUAGAUAUUAUUAUAUGUUGUAAUAAUUAUGAAUAGAUAAAUAGAUAAUUUAAUUUUUAAUAGAAUGUUAUAUUAUCUUAAUCAUUAGUGUAUAUUUAUUAUUUAUAAUUUAAUAUAUUAUAUGGUGCUUAUAUAAAUUGCGUUUUAAUAAUAAAAAACUAGUUAUUUAUAAUUGUACAAAUUACUGUUUUUUUUUGUGUGAAAAUUAAUAGCAAAAUAGAGUACUCCUAGAUGUCUCUAUUAAAUGAGUCAUAUAUGACAUGGAAAAAUGAUCUUCCCAAGCUAAGAUAUCUGAGGACUACAUCGUAGGUGGAUAGAAGAUACCACGGGGCAUGAUUGUGAUGGUCAGUGUAUGGGCUUUACAUAAGGAUCCAAAGUUGUGGGAAGAGGAUGAGAGCUUCAAGCUAGAGAGAUCUAAAAAUAUACCAACCAGUGAAUUUCGAAUCUUUGUUAUUGAUAUCGAGCAUUGAUAUUAAUAUUGAUGCAUAGUGCGACUCGUUGAGCUAAUUAAGAUUACUAGGGAUAAUUUUUUUUUUUUUUUUAAAAGUUGUCAUCUAAUAAUUAGUGACCAUAAUUAAUUUUUGAAGGUUCUAAAUUAUAUAUAUAUAUAUAUAUAUAUAUAUAACAGUUUUUAUUAUUAUAUAAAUAAAUAAAUAAAUAAAAAUACCUACAAGAUCAAAUAUCUUCAUCCCAUCUCUCUUCUAAUUUGAAUCAAUAAGGUUCACAGGUUCAAGAUCAAAUAUAUGCAUAAUAUCUUCAUCCCAUCCCUCUUUUAAUUUAAAUCAAUAAGGUUCACAGAUUCAAGGCAUUUGCUUUAGAUUUGUGUUAAUGUUAAAAAUUUUUAAAAAAACUUAUUCUAAUAUAUUUAUGAUAAUAUUAAAAAAGUAUUAAAAAAUAAUUUAAAUAUAUUUUCAAAUAAAAAAAAUACUUAAAAAACAAUCAAUAUCUUACUUUAAAUUACCCCAUUAAUAAUAUCUUUGACCACUAAUCUUGGUACAAAGCCAAAAGAGAAUUUUGAUAAAUGUAACUUAACUUGUCAGAUUUUGAGUUUAUUUUCAAGAAAUUAUUGAUUUAAAAAUUACUAAAAACUUAUAUAAUUAUUAAUUUUAAUAUUUUAAAGGAUUAAUUGAGAUAUGCUUUAACAAUUGAAAAUAAAUGCUAAGGAAAAGAGAACAUCUGCUUUUCUUCCUGCCCGAUUACAGUGUUCGGGUAAGUUGGUAUAUUUUUUUAAAAAUAUCGCAUAUGUUCUGCACAAUCAAUCAAAAUAAGUUCUACACUUUAAAAAUUGGCAAAAGCAAGAGGGGAUUAGCUCUUGGAAAGCGAGACUUGACAACUAUUCUCUCGUCCCGACUUUGGAAAUGAAAGAUCCGAGUCUGGACGAAGUACCUUCCUCGCGGAUAAGAACAUCUGCUUUUCUUCCUGCCCCAUGAUUACGAGUGUUCGGGUAAGUCAGUAUAUAUAUAUUUUUAAAAAGGCAAGGGAUAAGAGAACAUCUGCUUUUCCUGCCCCAUGAUUACGAGUGUUCGGCUAAGUUGAGUUUUUAUUUGUUGGAAAUUAAUUUUUUUUUAAAAAUAAAUUUUAGAAAAAAUAAAUUUUAAGAAAGUAUUUUCUGAUGUUUGGUAGUGUAAUGAAAAAUAAAUUGAAAAAUACUUUUCAGUAUUUGGUUAUGCCAUGGAAAAUAAACUGGAAAAUAACUUAUUAAUAUUUUAUUUUUUUCAAGUUUAUUAAAAUAAUGAGAAACAAAUCUUACAAAUUAAAAGGUUGAAUGAGAAUGAAAUUGAAAAAAAAAUAUAAUUUCAUAAAUUAUCUCAAAUAAAAUAAAUAAUAAUCAAAAUGAUAGAGAUCAAAUUUAAAAAAUUAAAAAAAAAUGAAAGAUGAAGAAAUUAAAAUAAUAAUAAUCAAUAUUUCAUAAAUUAUUUCAAAUAAAAUAAGUAACAAUCAAAAGAAUGAGGACCAAAUUUGAUAGAUAAAAUAUUUCAAUAAAAAUAUGAUAAGGAAAUAGCAAAUAACAAUUAUAAAAAUAAGGACCUAAGUUAAUAUAAAAAUAAAAUUUUAAGAGAUGAAAUUGAAAAAUAAAUAUUCAAAACAAAAUAUAUAUACUAAUCAAAAGUUUGAGGAUCAAAUUUGAUAUAAUCAGCAAAUAAUAAUAUUUCUAAAUUUUUCACAAUUUUCGAAAAGUGUUUUCCCUUCAAAUUUUUCAGGAAAAUACUUUCUUGAAAACCAAGCCAAAUUUUCCUUUUACUGGAAAGUGUUUUCUAUUGACCAACUUUCCUACUGACAAACAAACACAAGAAAGUUUGGAAAGUGAUUUUCCGGAAAUCACUUUCCGGAAAACAAACACAGUUAAAGGGAAAACACUUUCUUGAAAACCAAGUCAAAUUUUUCUUUAACCAAAAUUGACUGGAAAUUAUUUUCCGUUGACCGGAAAGUGUUUUUUAUUGACUAAAAAAUGUUUUUCAUUAACCAACUUUUCUAAUAACAAACAAACACUGAAAAAUUUUAAAAAUAAUUUUCCAUAAACUAUUUUUCGAUAAACAAAUAUGAACUUGCCUUAUUUUUUAAAAAAAUAUCGCUUAUGUUCUGCACAAUCAAUCAAAACAAGUUCUACACUUUAAAAAUUGGCAAAAGCAAGAGGGGAUUUGCUCUUGGAAAGCGAACUGGACAAAUAUUCUCUUGUCCCCACUUUGGAAAUGAAAGAUCUGCAUAAAUAUGGACCACACCUUCAUUUGACAUCACGUGAAAUGGACAACGAAAUUAUGGAAGAAAAUCAAACACAGACCGAGUCCACAAAAGACAUAGACUAAGACUUUUUUUUCUGUUUUUUUUUUCCCCAAACGAAAGCGAUUUCAUCCAAUAAUACUUCGCUGGCAUUGUCUGAAAAUUCAGCAUCAGUGACUUCUUCGACGACCUGGUCAGACAAUAGCUAAAAAUAUUAAAGGCAGACUCGUAGGUAAUUUAAUUUACCCAAAACAGCUUUGGUAAAAGAAACACUGAACACUUCCAGUAGAUAUUUAAUUGAGAAAAUUAGAGGUUACGGUUUAUUAUACAUUAUUAUUAUUAUAUUAUUAUAAUUAUUAUAACAUAUACUAAAAUAGUUCAGUGUUUUACUGUGCAGUCUACAAUGAAAUGGUGAGUUUUUUUUUUUUGGUUUUUUAAUUUUGCAAUCUUCUUAUUAGUCCAAAGACACGACCAUUAAGCUGAUAGAGAACUCCGCAGGCUGAGACCAAGUCUGCGGUCCUUUUCUCGCCCAUUGAUUUUGAGCUGAAGUUGGCGAAAGCUGUAGAACUCAGCAGAAAUGACUGUAAUUGAUUCAGCUUCAUGUUCUUCAGAACGAACACGCAAGCUUGAUCAUGCAUCUAGGGUUUUGCAUCGUUUUUUUGGCUUGCAAAACGGGUCUUCUUUUGGGACUUUUUUCCCCACCGAGACAUCAAAGGUUAUCCUGUCUAUAAUCCUACCUUGGUUCGAUAUUAUCAAAAAAGUUGAAAAGGAAAAAAAUUAGCACUCUGAAAUGUUAAGUUACGUCUCCCUUUCAUUAUACACUAGGUAUGGCCCAUGCUACGUCAUUGGCAUUCAAGUUAUGAGAGUUAUUUUAGUGGUCGAUGAGUCAGCAAUGAAAUCUCAUGAACAGUCUUCUUGUUUAUAUUAAUCAAAUUAAAUAAAAUAUUAUCCAUCUCGUAUUAAUAUUUAAUUAAUUUAAUUUAAAAAUAUCUUAGAAAAACUAAACUUAACAAAAAAAAAAUAACAUAUAAAAAAACCUUGGAUAACUUGAUUUAUUUUCAAAGUCAAUGAAAAAUCCUAUAUAAAAUAAAUAAAAAAUAAUUAAUGGAGAAAAUUGGAAAAGCAUAUUUUAAAAAAUAUUACAAAGUAAGUAUCCCAUUAAUUUAUAAAAGAAAAAAAAAUCUAUGCUCUGAAUUUUUAAAGGAAAAUAAAUAAUAAUUAAUGAAAAAGAUAAAAUUUAAAACCCCCAAAUUACCUAAUAAAAUUUGUUAAGCCAUAAAUUAUUUAGAGUUAUUAUUUCAUUUUCAUAAAAAAAUAUUUAUUUUUCAUAGAUAAUGAUUCUUUCCUGUUGUAGAUUACUUUAAUCGGACUUGUUGGGUAAUUUGGGGGGUUUUAUAAUUUUUAUUAUUUUAAAUUUAUCAAUUCUCUUUUUGAUUACUUUUAAUAAAAAAAAAUCAAAGCAAGAACAUUGCCCCAUCCCUUACUAUUUGAUUUGACAUCACAUGAAAUUAUGGAAGAAAAUCAAAGACAGACCGCGUCCACAAAAGACAUAGACCAAGACUUUUUUUUAUCUUUUUUUUUUUUUUUUUUUUUUUUUGUCUUUCCAAACGACCAAGACAUUGACAACUAUUCUCUUGUCCCACAAAAGACUUAACACCAGCAAGUUGCAUAGAAUAAAAACGUGUUUAGCAGUAUGUUAGGAUUUAUUUUUUAAAUAAAUUUUUAUGUUAAAAUAUAUGGUAAUAAUAUUUUUUUAUUUUUUAAAAAUUAUUUUUAACAUAAACAUAUCCAAACGAUUCAAAAAAUAUAAACUAUAUUAAAUUUUAAUAAAAAAAAAAUUAAAAUUUAAUGAGAACACUGUUUGUACCGCUUUCCCAAGCAAUUUCUAAAGACUUUUUUUUUUUUUUUUUUUCCAAACGAUUUCAUCCAAUAAUACUUCGCUGGCAUUGUCUGAAAAUUCAGCAUCAGUGGCUUCUUCGACGACCUGGUCAGACAAUAGCUAAAAAUAUAGAAGGCAGACUCGUAGGUAAUUUAAUUUACCCAAAACAGCUUUGGUAAAAGAAACACUAAACACUACCAGCAGAUAUUUAAUUGAGAAAAUUAGAGGUUACGUUUUAUAUUAUCAAUAACCCAUUGAAAUGCUUAAGAAUAAAUACUAAUAUUUAACAAUUUAAUUACAGCUUAUCAUCAUCAUGAUGGCAUCCCAGUGCAGAUUCCUCUACUUCUCAAAAUCCUUUUGUAUGUUGUCACCUUUAAAAAUUUAAUUUAAUAAACACCUAGGUUAUUUUCCUCUUUUCAUUUUUCUCUUCAUUCACCGAGGUUACUAUAAAAAAUAAAAAAUAUAUAUUAUUUUAAUAUAAUUUCAAAUAAAAAAUAUUUAAAAAACAGUUUUUACAUACUCUAUUAACUCUACAGAGAAAAAAACAAAAAGAAAAUGCCCUUACAUUUGUCACAAAAUCAGUUUCUGACAUAUUGUUAGGAGUGCUCGACAAGUUUGUUUAGAUAGUUUACAAAGUCAUAAUUUGUUAUUAGGACACUAUCAUUUGACUUGAUUUUAAAGUGUUAUAUAUAUUUUUUUAAGUUAUUUUUUAUUUAAAAAUAUAUUAAAAUAAUUUAUUUUAUUUAUUUAAAUUAUUUUAAACAUAACACACUAAAACAAUUUAAAAAUAUUAACGAAAAUUAAAGAAAAAAUUAAUUUUUAAAAUAUAAAAACAAAUAUUUUUUUUUGUAAUCAUGAGUUUCCAAGCUAGUUUACACGAAUCUCGACUAAUCUCUCAAGACCCUGAAGUUAACAACCAGUCAAACCUUUAUCAGCUCUGUGAUUUGUGACACUUGAACUGAUAAUAUCUAGAGAAUAAAUUUGUGGUCCGACCAGUUGAGCCCCCUAGUAUUUAAAAAAUAUAGAAGUUGUUAUUUAAAAAAAAACAAUGAUUUUUAUAAAAACAUUUGUAAAAACAAAGAAAAUGGUUUUUUAAAAAAUAUGUAGAUACCUUUUGUUAUUUUUAUUUCAAAUCAAUUUAAAUAAUUGUUUUAAUCCUAUAGAAUUUGUUUUUUUUUUUAUGAAAAUCAGUUUUUAUAGUUAUAUAAUUAAAUAAAAAAAAUAAAACUGUCUCGGCAACGAGAUCAAAUAUUUUCUUGUUUAUGUAUCUUUCAACUUUCUACUUUAGCAUUUAUUUAACACUAACAACUCUUCUUAUGUUUUAUUAAAUCAUAUAAUUUUUAAUCUAUUCUAUUAAAUACACUCAUUAACUUUCAAAUUUCCAUUUAAAUUUUUUAUGACACAUUCAUGGUACAUGCAGAUUAAUUUUUUUUAUAUAUUAAAAACUAAUUUAAAAUCCUAUCCACAAUAUAUUUGUUCGGCAAUUGUCAUGAUGUUCGGGGCAUUCUUUUGUUCUGUGAGAAUAGCAUUGCUAGGAUCCCAUGAUGGGUUGUUAACAAUCAUCGUUGAAGUGGUGGCCGUUAUGUUUUUCCUUGCUCAGGCACUCCUUGUUUUUCCUUGGAUUAUCCCGCUAUAUUUCAACAAAGUUCUUCUACGGGUUCUCUUGCACCAUUUCUACUACGGCCUUUUUUUAGUGUUUAUCUACAGCAGCUGGUGGCUGCGUAAUAAACUCUCUGAUCUCAAGAGAACGCACCAUCUUUAGUAAGAUCAGAGGUCGGGAUUUUGGGAUCGAUAACAUCUUGGAUUGUGUCUGUCUACCGAUUGUGCAUGGUAAUAAUUUGAACUUGUAAUAACUCUUGAGUUUCCGAUUGAAUGUAUGCGCACUUCUACUUUUGUUUUUUCUUAAGCAUGCAUUUACUAUACUCUUAUUGGUGUUGUUGGAUUGAGUAAAAACAAAUUAAAUCAAAUGUUCAAAUUAAGAUAUUGUUAUUAGCGGAAGUUGAGAAUAAUUUAACUUAUUAGUUAGUUAAAUUAUAUAUAUGUGUGUGUGUGUGUGUGUGUUUGUAGGGAAAUAUAUAAUAAUAAUGAUGGAGGUUAUAGUAGAAAAGUAGUACUAUAAUAUUUUUGAUAUAGUAUGAUUACAAUAUUUCUUAUAUCAAUACAUUAAUAUCCCUUCUCAAUUGAAGAUGGAGGAUCAAUAUGAAAUUUGAACUGAAAAACAAUAAACGGAGUAGUAGAAAAUAGCUUAGUAAAACAUCUGAAAAUUAAUCGUGAGAAGGGAUAAAACAAAUCUGAAUUAAAACACCUCACUCGGUUAAAAUCUGAAUUAAUAGUGGAGAUCAACUUGGUCUAAAUCAACAAACAUCAUGCAAUCUGAUAAGCAACCAAGUGAUGAGCUGGAGCCAAGUGAUCUGGAGCCAAGAAGAUCGCACAGAGUUCCUAAAAAGAAUCGCAGGUUCAUAGAGCUGUGAAGAGCCAGUCAAGGAAAGAACGAGUCAAGGGGGAUCCAGUCACUGCAGUGUCCUCAGUGCAUGAGAGGAAGAAGUCAAGUCUUAUUUAUCAAAUUAAAUAAAUGCCAACUAUGUAGCAGGAGUCAGUUGCUAAGAAUCCUGAUUGUAUGUAGUCGUGCCAGUAUUUUAGAAAAGUUUGUUAUUUCAUUCCUGUAUUUAAACUCUGGUAUGAGACAGAGAAAGGAAUCAUUCAAAAAUUCAAUAAUAUCAACUUGUGGCUUAUUCUCGCCCAAAGCAGAAUACAAUUGUGAUUUAUCUUUGUCUUUUAUUACUAGCUGUGACAGGGACCUAUCAAUUGGUAUCAGAGCUGGUCAACAAUGACAACAAACAAAGGAGCGGAUAGAAAAUUUGGAAGUGGGUCUGGGAGGACUUCAGGAUGGAAUGAGUCGAAUGGAGAUUACCCUUGUUGACAGAAUGCAUCAGAUGGAAGCCAACAUCAACAAAUUGACAGAGGCGUUACUGUCCAACAAAGAAGGAUCCAGCAGCCAAUCCAUUGAGCGCAACGGACGACCUCGCCAUCAGCGUGAAGAAUUCACAGAACGAACAGAUGGAACAAACAGAUGUUCUCUUCCAAACUGGCGAAGCUUGAGUUUCCAAUAUACUCAGGAAACGACCCCACUGAAUGGUUCAACAGAGUUGAUCAAUUCUUUGAGUAUCAAGGCACUACCGAAACACAAAAGGUGUCGUUAGCAUCUUUUCAUCUUCAAGGGGAGGCGAACCAGUGGUGGCAAUGGCUGAGACGUGCUUACAAAGACGAAGACAGAGAGGUGACAUGGCCAAUUUUUGAGGAGGAAUUGUGGGCAAGGUUUGGACCACCAGAAUGUGAGGAUUUUGAUGAAGCAUUGUCAAGGGUGAGACAAGGGGGCUCAUUACGGGAGUACCAAAGAGAAUUCGAGAGGCUGGGUAAUCGUGUGCAAGGCUGGACUCAAAAGGCACUAGUGGGACUUUUAUGGGAGGCUUGAAACCAGACAUAGCAGAAGGGAUUAGGAUGUUUAAACCCAAAUCAUUGAAAGAAGCAAUAAGCCUAGCCAGAAUGAGAGAUGAGCAAUUAACUCGCCAACGACGUAAGCCAUUUCCCAUCAAUCAUAAUCCAAUUGCUUCCUUUUCUCCAACAAAGUCACCAGCGGCCAUGCCCAUGAAACGUCUUGCUUGGGACGAGAUGCAGAAGAGACGAUCUCAAGGUCUCUGCUUUAAUUGUGACGAAAAAUUCACUCCUGGCCAUAAGUGUCAAAAGCCCGUCUGUUGCUACUGGAAGGGAUGAUGAGACGAGCUUGCAAGAUGACGAGGAAUUUGAAGGUGAUGAACCUCAAAUAUCAUUACAUGCUCUUACUGGUUGGUCAACUGCCAAAACAAUGUGAAUUAUGGCAAGAAUUGAGAAUCAAGAUUUGACUGUCCUCAUUGACAGUGGCUCCACGCACAAUUUCAUUAGCGAACGGAUUGCUAAUUGGCUACACCUGCCAGUGAUACCAACACAGCCCUUCAACGUGAAGGUGGCAAAUGGGAAUCCAUUGAAAUGUCAGGGAAGAUUUGAAAACAUACACGUCCGACUUCAAGGUAUUCCAUUUAUUCUGACUUUAUAUGCCCUACCAUUAUGUGGAUUGAUUUGGUUUUGGGAGUGCAGUGGCUAGAGCAAUUGGGAACAGUGGCCUGUGAUUGGAAGAAAAUGACCAUGGAAUUUAUGUGGAAGAAUCAAAUGCAGAAACUACAGGGAAUUGAUGCCCAACACAUUCAACCCGCAUCUCUAAAAGAUGUUUCGAAGGAGCUGCGCCAAAGCAAAACAAUGUUUGCUAUCUGUUUGCAAACCGAAGCCGAGAUACCUGUCAGCAAAGUGGAGUCUGAAAUACAGUAGAUGUUGGAGGAAUUUGGAGAUAUUUUUCAAACUCCAGCUCAAUUGCCACCGGUCCGGGAGAUUGACCACACCAUCACUGUCAAAGAAGGAACCGAGCUUGUCAAUGUCAGAACAUACAGGUAUGCCUAUUUUCAAAAAGCUGAAAUUGAAAAACAAGUUCAAGACAUGUUAAAAUUGGGAUUUAUAAGAUCAAGCACUAGCCCUUUUUCAUCUCCUGUUUUGUUAGUUAAAAAGAAAGAUGGCACAUGGCGUUUUUGCACUGAUUAUAGAGCCCUUAAUGCAGUAACGUUAAAGACCGAUUUCCUAUUCCUACGGUAGAUGACAUGUUAGACGAACUACAUGGGGCUGUUUAUUUUACCAAACUAGAUUUGACAGCUGGUUACCACCAGGUUAGGGUAUCCCCAAAUGAUAUUCAUAAAACUGCUUUCCGCACCCAUAAUGGUCAUUACGAAUACUUAGUCAUGCCAUUUGGUCUUUGUAAUGCCCCCUCUACUUUUCAAGCCCUUAUGAAUGCCAUAUUUCGACCCUACCUUCGUAAAUUUGUGUUAGUCUUUUUUGACGAUAUCUUGAUCUAUAGUCCCAAUUGGACCAUGCAUCUUGCACAUGUUCGCAAGGCUUUUGAAAUUCUAAGGCAAUACAAAUUUUUUGCAAAAUUGAAGAAAUGUGCAUUUGGCCAACAAGAGUUGGAGUACUUGGGGCAUAUUAUUACUCCAAUGGGGGUUAAGGUUGAUCAAGCAAAAAUCCAGGCAAUGCUAUCCUGGACAAGACCUACUAAUAUAUCUGAGCUUCGUGGAUUUUUAGGUCUUACAGGUUAUUACAGGAAAUUUGUUCGUAAUUAUGGGAUUCUUGCUCGUCCAUUGACAUCCUUAUUACGCAAAGGUCAAUUUUGCUGGAAUGAUGACGCCGAGGCAGCUUUUGAGGCAUUAAAGACAGCAAUGACUUCCACUCCAACCCUUGCAAUGCCUAAUUUUGCUGAAGUUUUUGUGAUUGAGUCUGAUGCUUCCGGAGAUGGCAUCAGUGUUGUUCUAACUCAACAAGGGCGGCCAAUAGCUUUCAUGAGUCGCACUUUGGGGCUAUCCAAGCGUGCAUGGUCAACUUAUGCGAGAGAAAUGUUGGCUAUUGUGGUGGCUGUCCAGCUGUGGAGACCAUACUUGUUAGGCCGUAAAUUUGUGAUCCAAACAGAUCAACGCAGCUUAAAGUACCUAUUGGAGCAGCGUAUUACUACCCCAGAACAGCAGAAAUGGGUAUCAAAAUUACUUGGCUAUGAUUAUGAAAUCGUGUAUAAGCCAGGCAAGGAGAAUUCGGCUGCAGAUGCAUUGUCACGUAUGACGGGCAGCCCUUGCCUUUCACACUUAUCUGUUCCACAAAUUCACGUGUGGGAUCAACUUAAGGCCGAAGCUGUUUCCCAUCCUUACAUGAAGAAAAUUGGCAAGCUGGCUACUGAGAAUCCGGACAGCCCCUAUAAAUGGCGAAAUGGGUUGCUUCACUACAAAAGCAGAGUAGUAAUUGCCCCCAACUCUGAUAUCAUUCAGCAAUUGUUACGUGAAUUCCAUGAUUCACCUCUUGGGGGGCAUUCAGGUGUAUUGCACACCUACAAACGGCUGGCGCAACAGUUUUAUUGGCCAUUAAUGGCUCACAUAGUGAAGGAAUAUGUAGCUUCUUGUGAUGUAUGUCAACGGGUGAAGUCAGACACACUGUCACCAGCGGGUUUAUUGCAGCCAUUACCCGUCCCCUGUCAAGUUUGGGAUGACAUCACGAUGGAUUUUAUUGAGGGUCUCCCACAAUCUGGCGGAAAGAACACAAUUUUUGUCGUUGUUGAUCGACUUAGUAAGUCAGCACAUUUCUUGGCAUUGGCUCAUCCUUAUACGGCCAAAAUGGUGGCUGAGAAAUUCGUUGAAGGUGUGGUGAAGCUACAUGGUAUGCCACAAUCCAUUAUUAGUGAUAGAGAUCCUAUCUUUAUCAAUCACUUUUGGCGUGAGUUCUUUAAAUUGUCAGGUACCAAACUGAAGAUGAGUUCCGCAUAUCAUCCACAAACGAAUGGGCAAUCUGAGGUUGUCAAUCGUUGUGUCGAACAAUAUCUUCGGUGCUUUGUUCACCAGCAGCCCACCAAAUGGAAUUCACUUCUACCUUGGGCUGAGUUCUAGUAUAAUACCACUUAUCAUGCUUCCACAGGUAUGACACCAUUCCAUGCUCUUUAUGGAUGUUUACCACCGACAAUUCCCCAUUACCACAUUGGCAUGUCUCCGGUGAAUGAAGUGGAUCAGCAACUCGCCUCUAGAGAUGAAUUAUUGAGUCUGCUCAAGGCCAACUUGCAUGCUGCUAGUAAUCGCAUGCAACAACUCGCUAAUUCUAAGCGACGUGGUGUUGAAUUUCAAGUGGGAGACUGGGUUUUUCUUAAGCUUCAUCCUUACCGUCAGCAAUCGGUGGUCAAACGUGUAUGCAAAAAAUUGGCUAGUCGCUAUUAUAGCCCCUAUUAGAUUGAAGAACGAAUUGGCACAGUGGCGUAUAAGCUGAAGUUGCCUACCCAGGCUCGUAUUAAUCCUGUUUUUCAUGUGUCCUUGAUCAAAAAGAAAAUUGGUGACGAGGCCGUCGAUACGAUCAAUUUGCCUCCUAUGACUGCUGCUGGUGAAAUGCUGAUCGAACCUGAGGCCAUCUUAGACACUCGUUGGAUCAAGAAGGGGUCUCGGUUUGUCGAAAAAAUUCUGGUGAAAUGGAAACACCUGCAGACUGAUGAUGCAACUUGGGAAGAUGUUGUGACGUUACAAGAACGAUUUACCAACUUGAACCUUGAGGACAAGGUUCCCUUAAAUGGGGGAGGUAUUGAUAAGCAGCAGCUGGAGCCAAGUGAUCUGGAGCCAAGAAGAUCACACAGAGUUGUCAAGUCUUAUUUAUCAAAUUAAAUAAAUGUCAACUAUGUAGUAGGAGUCAGUUGCUAAGAAUCCUGAUUGUAUGUAGUCGUGCCAGUAUUUUAAAAAAGUUUGUUAUUUCAUUGCUGUAUUUAAACUCUGGUAUGAGACAGAGAAAGGAAUCAUUCAAAAAUUCAAUAAUAUCAACUUGUGGCUUAUUCUCGCCCAAAGCAAAAUACAAUUGUGAUUUAUCUUUGUCUUUUAUUACUAGCUGUGACAGGGACCUAUCACAAUCCCUGCUUUAAUUUGAAUCAAUAAGGUUACUAAUAGGUUAAAGGCAUUUGCUAUAGAUUUGACAUCACCCUUGAGUACAUUAAAAGAGAACUGCAGUAUUUUUUCAAGGUAAAAGAACGUGCAAUUUCAAAAAAGGUUUUGUUCUAAGAAAUACAGCCAACACUACUAACCCCACCAUCAAUAGCGAAGAGAGCACAAUAAUGCAAAUUGUGUCCCACGUUGUCCUUUGAUGAUAAGUUUUUUUUGUUGUCUAUACACCACCCCACCAUCAACAGGAGAACACAAUAAUGCAGAUUGUGUCCCACGUUGUCAUUUGAUGAUUAGUUUUUGUUGUCUAUAGUUAUUCCCAUUGGGUUAUAAACAGUAUCUUAUAAAAAUUAAUUAAGAAAAAACUUGCUCAGUGUUUCACUGUGCAAGUCCACAGUGAAACGCUGAGCUGUAUUUUUUUUUUUUUUUUUUUUUUUUUUUUUUUUUUUUUUUUUUUUUUUUGCUUUUAACUCUUUUUUUCUUUGUUUUUUUAGCUGUUUCAUUUUUUUUUAAUGAAUUUUUUUUUAAAAAAAUUGUUAAUAUUAAAUUUUCUUUUAUUUAGUUAUCAAAUUUUUAUAAUACAAGUUUGAGUUUGAUGGAUUAACCCGGAUUUUUUUUCUGGUUUUUCUUUUUAAUUAAAUUUUUCGAGUGCAGUCCACAGUUAAACGCUUAGCUAUCUAUUUUUUUUUUGCUUUGUUUUUUUAAGUUUUUUUUUAUAUUUUUUUUUUUAAGCUGUUUUGUUUUCUUUGUUUUUUUUUAAUUAAUACUUUUUUUGUUUAUUUUUUUUGGUUAAUGUUAAUUUUUUUUCUAUUUAGUUGUCAAACUUUCAUUACAUUGGUUCCGAGUUUGACACGUUAACCCUGAUUUUUUUUCUGGUUUUUCUUUUUAAUUAAUUUUUUUGAGUGCAAUCACAGUGAAACGCUUAGCUGUCUUUUUUUUUAAAAAAGUUUUUUUUUCUUUUUUCUUUUUUUUUUAAGUUGUUUUUUUCUUUGUUUUUUUUAAUGAAUAUUUUUUUGUUUAAUUUUUUUUGUUUAUGUUAAAUUUUUUUCUAUUUAGUUAUCAAACUUUCAUUACAUGGGUUCCGGGUUUGACGCGUUAACCCAGAUUUUUUUUUGUUUUUUUUUAAUUAAUUUUUUCGUUUAAUUUAGUUUGUUAAUGUUAACUUUUUUCUAUUUAGUUAUCAAACUUUCAUGACAUUGAUUCCGGGUUUGACGGGUUAACCCAGCUAUUUUUGGGUUAACCCGUAAAUUAUUUUUUCCCUGUUCAGUUAUCAAACUUUAAUGACACGAAUCCCAGAUUUGACGGGUUAACCUGGUUUGAAGGAUUAACCCAGAUAAUUCAGAUUUUUUUUCUUUUUCUUCAUUAGUUUUUUUCUUCAUGUAGGAUUUUUUUAAAAAAAUUUAAUAUUUUUUUUGUUUCGUAUUUUUUGUUUUUUAUUUUGUUUUUUAAUUAUUUUUUUAAAAUUUUGUUUGUUAAUAUUAAGUUUUUUUAUAUUUAGUUAUCAAACUUUCAUGAUACGAAUCCCAGGUUUGAUGGAUUAACCUGGUUUGACAGGUUAACCCAGUUAAUUCAGAUUUUUUUUUCUUUUUCUUCAUUAUUUUUUUUUUCUUGUAGGUUUUUUUUCCUUUGUUUUUGUUCAUUUUAGUUUAUUAAUGUUAAAUUUUUUAUAUUUAGUUAUCAUACUCUCAUGACACGAAUCUCAGAUUUGACGGGUUAACUUGAUUUGGCGGGCUAACCCAGUUAAUUCAUAUUUUUUUUCUUUUUCUUUAUUAGUUUUUUCUUCCAAUUUUUUCUUUAAAUAUUGUAAUUAACAAUAACUAAAAGACAUCAAUCUUUUUUCUUCCAAUUUUAUAACACGAAUCCCAGGUUUGAUGAGUUAAACCAGUUAAUUAAUUUUUUUUUUCUUAAGUAGUUUUUUUCUUUCAAUUUUAUUUUUAAUAUCGAUUUGAUUAAAAAUUAAACUUUAUGAUUUAUUUUGUUUACUGGUCAUUAAAUUAUUGUGAUCUCAUGAGGGGAUUUUACCGUGCCCCUCCUUGGAAAGCACUAUUCAUCAGAAUAAUACUUUGUUUUAUUGUUUAUUUCUUUUCAAUUAUUUUUUUUUAAUUUUAUUAUGUAAUAUUAAUUUUUUUUUUAAUUAUCACACUUCUAUAACAAAACCUUGCAACCAGACUCAUAUCAAAGGCUCCGUAUUUGAUGUUGCCACCAAACUCACUUAAAUUUGGGCUAUGCAAUUUUAAUAUUAUUAUUAAUAUAACUUUUGAAUCAAGAGUAACAGAUAGACCCAAUGCUUUUAAGUAUAACUUUAUAGAAAAACCUAACACUCUUAAAUUUUAACUUUUUUGAAUAUUUUUUAUAUAAAACACAUUGACCCGCAGCGUAGCGCGGGCCACAUUUCUAGUUGAACACUAAUCCAUGUGGUUUCUAAAAAUUAAUUCAUGGGUAAACUCAGAUCUUGAUUUCACUAUUUUUUUCAUUAUACUGUACAAUAGGAAGGGUGAGAGGCAGUUUGAAAGAAACAUUAUAGUAAAUGGUGAUAGCAAAAACAACCUAGGGAUGAGACAACGACGGCAGGAAUAAUUAUAAAUGAAUACAAAACUAAGUAACAAAGAGUGACAUUUUAAAAAAAAAAACAAAAAAACAAAAGAGACUGAAUAUUAUUAUGCCGUAAUCAUAUGGUUCAAAUUAUAAUUUUUCUUGAUUGAAAUAAUUAUAUGGAUAUAUAUGUGCGUACAAUACCUAUAAUUAAUAUAAUGUCUGUUAAAAGGUAUAAUAUCAAUGAAAAAAAUAUAAUACUGCUUUUAAAAAAUUAAUAAAAGAUUCUACUCGUUCACCAUUAUUUAAUAAUUGCUUUUAGAAUAAGUCUCCUGUCACUUUACACCAUCAACUUUGCAAUUAAAUGCAUACUUUACCGGCUCAUAUUCAUUGAAACUAAUAAUACUCUAAUCACCUGAACAAGAGGUAAUAAUUAAUUGGCUUUUGGAUUGAGAUCCAACAUUACUUAAUUUUUAAUAAUUGGUUGUACGUGAUUUGUUGAAAAUAUAAAAAUAAAUAAUUUGUGUUUUAGCAGCCGUGAGUUUUCAAGUUAACUUACACGAAUUUUAAUUAAUUUUUCAAUAUUAUAAAAUUAAUAAUUGGAUAAAUCUUUAUUAACUAUGUGAUUUAUAACGCUCAAAUGACUAAUCUUUAAAGAAUAAAGUCAGGGUAUGACUAGUUAAAUCAUCUCAAUAUCAAAUAAUAUAAGUGCUAAUAUAGUUCACAUUUUCCUCCUUUCCUUUUCCUUUUCUAGAUGCUGCUUUAACCAUGGCCAAGGCUGCUCUCUCCUUCUGGUCUAUUUAAAUUAGAAGUCCAGCUGUCUGAUAUGUAUAGCUGAUUCAACCAACACCAUAUUUUCUUUUGCCAUGUCUAGCGUAGCAAUAAACAUUGAUGAAAACUCGAUUCCGAGAGAUCACAUGGCAAAUGCAAUGAUAGAUAGUCAGUUGCAUGAGUGUGUGAGGCAGAACAUUAAUACUGAGGAAUUUAGAAGGCUUGUCCAGCAACGUUCAGCGGAGAAGCUUGUGACACCCUGCGGGAAUACACUACUUCACGUAGCUGUAAGCUAUGGAAGUGACAAUAUUACAUCUUAUCUGGCUCAAACGUUUCCUUCUCUCAUCACCAUCCAAAACAGCCAGAAGGACACAAUCCUUCACCUUGCUGCCAGAGAAGGAAAGUCCAGUGAUACAAUUAAAUCUCUUGCGGAAUCGAAUCCGAGCUUGAUGGGGAAGACAAAUACAAAGGGAAACACUCCUUUGCAUGAUGCAGUGGUCAAGGGCAACAAAGACCUUGCCAUUUUCCUAGUUUCCAUAGAUCCAGAAGCGGCCUAUUACAACAACAAUAAUGGCAAGUCUCCUUUAUAUCUGGCUGUUGAGAACGGCAAUAAGAAAGAGAUACUUGAUGAUCUCUUGAAAACGAAAGCUUCGUUCCCUAUAAAAAGUGAAGAUGGUGAUGCCCUACCAAAAGGAAAGUCACCUGUUCAUGUUGCCAUCAAGCAACGUAACAGAGGUGAUCACAAUUUCAUUACUCACUAGAAAAUGAAUUACAUACAAACAAUUGUUGCAAAGCUAUCAUCUUUAUAUUCAUUUGAAACAUUUUCUUUUGAUUUUCAGAUAGUUUGGAGAAAAUUCAAAGGGAAAAGCCAGAGCUAUUACGUCUCACCGAGGAAGAGUUUGGAAAUUCACUGCAUUAUGCAUCAUCCAUAGGAUUUCUGGAAGGAGUUCGAUUCCUAUUAAAGAAGUUUCACGAUGGUGCUUAUGAAACAAACCUUGAAGGCAACUAUCCUAUCCAUGUAGCAUGUAAAAGUCACUCUGUUGAUGUAGUGAAGGAAUUUCUUGAUAAAUUCCCAUAUCCAAAAGAAUUCCUCAAUAAGGAAGGGCAGAACAUUCUUCAUGUAGCGGCCAAAUAUGGAAAUAGCAGUGUGGUUAGGUAUAUACUCAAACAGGACGAGGAGCUCGUCGCACCGCUGCUAAAUGCGAUAGAUGAGGAUGGAAAUACACCUUUGCAUUUGGCAGCACGUUAUGGCCGAUGCACGGCUACAUUUCUUCUUGUGCGUGACAAUCGCGUUGAACAUUUGAUUGUUAACAAUAGAAAUUGGACACCAUAUGAGUGUGCUGAAGAUUUUUCCAAAAUAUUUGAAGAGGAAUACAUAGAAACAGUAUGCAACUAAUUUGAUCAUCAUUUAUCGAGCUACAAAAUUCUAUAUAUUUUAGGAGUAUUACUGAUUUAAUAUUUUGGUAUCUGGGCUUCCUCUUUGUUGCCAGCGUGCCGAGGAACGAGAGCAGUUUGAUUCAAAGAACAGUACCCGGGCGCACGAGAUCAAGGUAUUUACGUUUAGGAUUAUGAUAAGUUUUUUCUAUUUAAGAAACAAUAUUUUUUAUAAAAUACUAUCCAAAAAAAAACAGAGAGGACGGAUUAAUAAUUUUUUUUUAUUAAAUAGAUAUCUUUUAUAUAUUUAUUUCAAUAAAAUCAUGAAAAGUUUUGUCCAUAUUUAUUAUUUUAAUUGCUUUUAGUUUUUAUGGAAUAAAAACAUAGCUAAAAAAAUAUUUAUUUUUUUUCAAGAAAAUCAUCAAUUCAUUAUUCUUUUAUUUCUGAAUUAAAACUUAUUUAUAAGAUUAUGAUAGGUUGUUAUUAAAAAAAGGAAAACAAUUUUAUAAAAACAUUAGUAAAACAAAUGGAACGUAUUCAUAAGGAAAAUGGUUUUGAUUAAAAAAAAUAUAGAUACCUUUUUUAUUUUUGUUUCAAAUCAAUUUAAAUUAUUUUUUUUAUCCUAUAGAGUUUAAAUUAUUUAUGAAAAUUAAUUUUUAUUGUCAUGUAAUUAAAUAAAAAGAAUUAAAAGUAUCUCGCAACACGAAAUAAAAAAUCUUCAAUAUAUAUAUAUAAGCUCGUCAAACCGCUGCUAAAUGCGAUAGAUGAGGAUAGAAACACACCUUUGCACUUGGCAGCAGUUUAUGGCCGAUGCAUGGCUACAUUUCUUCUUGUGCGUGACAAUCGCGUUGAACAUUUCAUUGUUAACAACGAAAAUUUUACACCAUAUGAUGUUGCGAAACAACAAUCUAAAAUGGCUGUAGACCAAU
rnacentral:lncRNA from 1 species